rnacentral:scRNA from 1 species
GCUGGUACUGAGUUAUCAGGAUUGAUUCGCAUUAGUGUCACUAAAGUUGGUAUACAAUCUUCCACUGCUAAAUUUGACUGCCUU